GAGUUUGAUCCUGGCUCAGAUUGAACGCUGGCGGCAUGCUUUACACAUGCAAGUCGGACGGCAGCACAGAGAAGCUUGCUUCUUGGGUGGCGAGUGGCGAACGGGUGAGUAACGCAUCGGAACGUACCGAGUAGUGGGGGAUAACUGUCCGAAAGGAUGGCUAAUACCGCAUACGCUUUGAGAAGGAAAGCGGGGGAUCUUCGGACCUCGCGCUAUUCGAGCGGCCGAUGUCUGAUUAGCUGGUUGGUAGGGUAAAGGCCUACCAAGGCGACGAUCAGUAGCGGGUCUGAGAGGAUGAUCCGCCACACUGGGACUGAGACACGGCCCAGACUCCUACGGGAGGCAGCAGUGGGGAAUUUUGGACAAUGGGCGCAAGCCUGAUCCAGCCAUGCCGCGUGUCUGAAGAAGGCCUUCGGGUUGUAAAGGACUUUUGUCAGGGAAGAAAAGCUUGAGGCUAAUACCC
rnacentral:rRNA from 1 species